rnacentral:tRNA from 1 species
AUUAAGGUGUCCGAACUUAGGUAGUAAACUGUAAAUUUACUUAUGAUAUUUAUCCCUUAAUAUA